UGGCUCAUUAUAUAAGUUAUCGNUUAUUUGAUAAUACUUUACUACUUGGAUAACCGUGGUAAUUCUAGAGCUAAUACAUGCUAAAANUCCCGACUUCGGAAGGGUUGUAUUUAUUAGAUUAAAAACCAANCUCGUCUNGGGCUCUCUGGUGAAUCAUGAUAACUAGUCGAAUCGACAGGCCUUGUGCCGGCGAUGGCUCAUUCAAAUUUCUUCCCUAUCAACUUUCGAUGUUUGGGUAUUGGCCAAACAUGGUGGCAACGGGUAACGGAGGGUUAGGGCUCGACCCCGGAGAAGGAGCCUGAGAAACGGCUACUACAUCCAAGGAAGGCAGCAGGCGCGCAAAUUACCCAAUCCCGACACGGGGAGGUAGUGACAAUAAAUACUGAUACAGGGCUCUUUUGGGUCUUGUAAUCGGAAUGAGUACAAUUUAAAUCCCUUAACGAGGAACAAUUGGAGGGCAAGUNUGGUGCCAGCAGCCGCGGUAAUUCCAGCUCCAAUAGCGUAUAUUAAAGUUGUUGUGGUUAAAAAGCUCGUAGUUGAACCUUGGGCCUGGCUGGCNGGUCCGCCUCACCGCGUGUACUGGUCCGGCCGGGCCUUUCCCUCUGUGGAACCCCAUGCCCUUCACUGGGUGUGGCGGGGAAACAGGACUUUUACUUUGAAAAAAUUAGAGUGCUCAAGGCAGGCCUAUGCUCGAAUACAUUAGCAUGGAAUAAUAAAAUAGGACGUGUGGUUCUAUUUUGUUGGUUUCUAGGACCGCCGUAAUGAUUAAUAGGGACAGUCGGGGGCAUCAGUAUUCAAUUGUCAGAGGUGAANUUCUUGGAUUUAUUGAAGACUAACUACUGCGAAAGCAUUUGCCAAGGAUGUUUUCAUUAAUCAGGAACGAAAGUUAGGGGAUCGAAGACGAUCAGAUACCGUCGUAGUCUUAACNAUAAACUAUGCCGACUAGGGAUCGGACGAUGUUACAUUUUUGACGCGUUCGGCACCUUACG
rnacentral:rRNA from 1 species